rnacentral:rRNA from 1 species
UACAGAGGUGGCAAGCGUUGUUCGGAAUUACUGGGCGUAAAGGGCGCGUAGGCGGCCUUCUAAGUCAGACGUGAAAUCCCCCGGCUUAACCUGGGAACUGCGUCUGAUACUGGGAGGCUAGAGUAUGGGAGAGGGAUGUAGAAUUCCAGGUGUAGCGGUGAAAUGCGUAGAUAUCUGGAGGAAUACCGGUGGCGAAGGCGGCAUCCUGGACCGAGAUUGACACUGAUGAGCGAAAGCCAGGGGAGCAAACGGG